rnacentral:lncRNA from 1 species
AGUCUAAGGUUGCUCCCACCAGACUAGGAGGACUGGAGAGUAGGGUUGGGGUCAAAGGGUAGCCUCCUGCAGGUCGCCUCCUCCUGUGGCUUUCCCGGACGUCGCGCUGGGACUUCCUGCCGACACCGCACUUCUUCCCAGACUCCCACCUGCGCCGCUGGGGGCUUGGGUCCAGUCUUGCUCUGCCACCCAACCCUGGAGUGCAAUGGCGCAAUCUUGGCUCACUGCAACCUCUGCUUCCCAAGUUGAAGUGAUUCUCCUACCUCAGCCUCCCGAGUAGCUGGGAUUACAGGCAUGUGCCACCACACCUGGCUGAUCUUUCUUUUAGUAGAGAUGGGGUUUCACCAUGUUGUCCAGGCUGGUCUCGAACUCCUGACUUCGUGAUCCACCCACCUUGGCCUCCCAAAGUGCUGGGAUUACAGAUUUCCAGGGUCUUUGAAGAUGUUAGUUCACUGUUUAUUCAUGUGGGUUCCUGUAAAUGUCUGCAGCCAAUCUGGAAGUGGAGCUGUAUUUGGAACUUUUUGAAUCUAAAUCAGUUUGGGAGAAGUGAGUCUUUUCAGAAUUUGACCUUUCAAUGAAUGUCUCAAAUUUGUUUACGUCAUCUUUAAUGUUUUCAAUACUGUCUUCAAAACAAUUUGUUCCGGCCAGGCAUGGUGGCUCACACCUGUAAUCCCAGCACUCUGGGAGGCUGAGGUGGGCAGAUCACGAGGUCAAGAGAUCCAGACCAUCCUGGACAACAUGGUGAAACCCCAUCUCUAACUAGCUGGGUGUGGUGGCCCUUGCCUGUAGUCCCAGCUACUCCGGAGGCUGAGGCAGGAGAAUCACUUGAACCCAGGAGGCGAAGGUUUGCAAUGAGCUGAGAUUGCGCCACUGCACUCCAGCCUGGCAACAGAGCGAGACUGCAUCUCAAAAAAAAAAACGAAAAAAAAAAAAAACCCAGUUUCCUUCUAUUUCAUAAAUUAUUUUUGAAGGUUUUCAGGCUUCAUUCUGUCCUUGUCUGAGUUUGUUAUCCUGCCCUCAUAUACUGCCAGAAUGUUUUUGUUUUUUGUUUUUUUGAAAUGGAGUUUCGCUCUUGUUGCCCAGGCUGGAGUGCAACGGUCCAAUCUCGGCUCACUGCAACCUCUGCCUCCCGGGUUCAAGCGAUUCUCCUGCCUCAGCCUCCCAAGUAGGUGGGGUUACAGGCAUGUACCACCAUGCCCAGCUAAUUUUGUAUUUUUGGUAGAGAUGGGGUUUCUCCAUGUUGGCCAGGCUGGUCUCGAACUCCCAACCUCAGGUGAUCCGCCCGCCUUGGCCUCCCAAAGUGCUGGAAUUACAGGCGUGAGCCACCGCGUCUGGCCGAGAACGUGUUAUUUUUCUAAAUUCUCCAAGUGUUGUCAUAUUGCGUCAAUAUGGUGCCUCCAGAAACCAAAAAAACCGACCAAGCAUUGUGCUGUUUGUGAUUAGUAGUACAAAUUGCAGCAAUUCUCCUUUCACCUUAGAGGGAAUAUCUUGACAAGCGCCAGACAACUGAACCCCUAGAAACUUCAGGUGGUUAGCCUGAAUGUUUGGGUGUAUUCCCCAACAAACAUUCACGUCUGUCUUACGAAAGAACUCAUAAAGGCAUCAAUAGAGAGGACAAGUUGUGGGAUGUAAAGAUGACCAUACCUGCUGGAUGUUAUUGCAAGCAACAGUAUAACUGAUGUAACGCUGAGAAAAAGUAAGUUGCUCCUGGUUGUCCUUACAGGUUGAGAAAAUGGUAUUUCUAGGUCAGUAGCUCACAUUUGUAGUAAAUUAAUGAACAUUAGUUAUUAGGGGAAAAGUAUGGGCACUAAUAGCACAAUUUGCCAGAAACAUAAAAUGAGUAAACUUAAAUGUACCCAAUUACAGUGCCCCCCAAAAAAGGAGAGUUUUUUUUUUUUUUUUUUCCCUGAGACACGGUCUUGCUGUGGCCCGGGCAGGAAUGCAGUGGCAUGACCUCGGCUCACUGCUACCUCUGCCUCCUGGGCUCAGGUGAUCCUCUCACCUCAGCCUACUGAGUAGCUGGGACUUACAGGUACACAAUACCAUACCUGGCUAACUUUUUUUUGUUUUGUUUUUUGUAGAGAUGGAGUUUCGGCUCAUUGGCUGGGCUUGGUCUUGAACUGGUAAGCUCAAGUGAUCUGCCCGCCUUGGGCUCCCAGACAUGCACCACUGCACCUGGCCUAGAGAGAGAGAUUUUUAAAGAAAACAAUUUGGCUGGGGGCGGUGACUCACACUUGUAAUCCUAGCACUCUGGGAGGCCAACACAGGCAGAUCACUUGAGAUCAGGAGUUCAAAACCAGCCUGGCCAACAUGGCGAAACCCCACCUCUACUAAAAAUACAAAAAAGUAGCUAGGCGUGGUGGCAUUUGCCUGUAAUCCCAGCUACUUGGGAGGAUGAGACACGAGAAUCACUUGAACUCAGAAGGCGGAGGUUGCACUGAGCUGAGAUCACACCACUGCACUCCAGCCUGGGCAACACAGCAAGACCUAAUUAUUCCUUUUUUGGUAGAGAUGGGGUCUCACUGUGUUGCCUCAGCUGAUUUCAAGCUCCUAGACUUAAGUGAUCCUUCUGCCUCAGAAAACACAAUUUUUCAACCAUACUUGAACGAUUCCUAAAACUUGACCAUUUAUUAGAUGUAACAGUUGGGACUGAAAUCAGCUGAAAGAGGAACUUCC